UACGAAGGGGGCUAGCGUUGCUCGGAAUCACUGGGCGUAAAGCGCACGUAGGCGGCUUUCUAAGUCAGGGGUGAAAUCCUGGAGCUCAACUCCAGAACUGCCUUUGAUACUGGAGAGCUUGAGUCCGGAAGAGGUGAGUGGAACUCCGAGUGUAGAGGUGAAAUUCGUAGAUAUUCGCAAGAACACCAGUGGCGAAGGCGGCUCACUGGUCCGGUACUGACGCUGAGGUGCGAAAGCGUGGGGAGCAAACAGG
rnacentral:rRNA from 1 species